UCUCUCGUAGUAUAGUGGUCAGUAUGCAAGCUUGUCACGCUUGAGACCCGGGUUCAAUUCCCGGCGAGAGAG
rfam:Ophiocordyceps unilateralis strain SC16a Contig_9, whole genome shotgun sequence.